rfam:Caenorhabditis brenneri strain PB2801 C_brenneri-6.0.1_Cont28.24, whole genome shotgun sequence.
AUAAGUAGUAGUGCCGCAGGUAACCGAUUUCAAUGGUUUACCUACUGCCUCCUGCUUAGAA